CCUUCUUACGGGAGGCAGCAGUCGGGAAUAUUGCGCAAUGGAGGAAACUCUGACGCAGUGACGCCGCGUAUAGGAAGAAGGUUUUCGGAUUGUAAACUAUUGUCGUGAGGGAAGAAAUUGACAGUACCUCAGGAGGAAGCUCCGGCUAACUAUGUGCCAGCAGCCGCGGUAAUACGUAGGUGGCGAGCGUUAUCCGGAAUGAUUGGGCGUAAAGGGUGCGUAGGCGGCCUGCUAAGUCUGGAGUGAAAGGUACCGGCUCAACCGGUACAGGCUCUGGAGACUGGCGGGCUGGAGAGCAGGGGAGG
rnacentral:rRNA from 1 species